AAUAAAAAUAUUCCAACAAUUGAACAGAAGGAGAUGUAUUUCACCUGGUUUUCCUGGGGAGGGGAUUUCUGACCCUGCUGGGGACCUUUCUGUGCGGGAUCAAGAGGACGAUCCAAUCUGAGGGGCAAAGACAGCCCAGUGAGGUAGUAAGUAUGUAGGGAGACUCA